UGCACAGUGGAAUUAUCUAGGGUUUAAAAAAACUCCAUUCCUUAUUCUUGUUUAGGCUACAGUGCUAAAGAAUUCCUGGCUCCAUUUAUUGCACAUCUGACUUGUCCCAUUCUGCUGUUGCUUUAUGGAGUUAAGGAACAUUG